AUACGUAGGGGGCUAGCGUUAUCCGGAAUUACUGGGCGUAAAGGGUGCGUAGGUGGUUUCUUAAGUCAGAAGUGAAAGGCUACGGCUCAACCGUAGUAAGCUUUUGAAACUAAGAGACCUGAGUGCAGGAGAGGAGAGUAGAAUUCCUAGUGUAGCGGUGAAAUGCGUAGAUAUUAGGAGGAAUACCAGUUGCGAAGGCGGCUCUCUGGACUGUAACUGACACUGAGGCACGAAAGCGUGGGGAGAAAACAGGAUUAGAUACCCUGGUAGUCCACGCCGUAAACGAUGAGUACUAGCUGUCGGGGGUUACCCCCCUCGGUGGCGCAGCUAACGCAUUAAGUACUCCGCCUGGGAAGUACGCUCGCAAGAGUGAAACUCAAAUGAAUUGACGGGG
rnacentral:rRNA from 1 species